rnacentral:rRNA from 1 species
GAUGAACGCUGGCGGCGUGCCUAAUACAUGCAAGUCGAGCGAACAGAUAAGGAGCUUGCUCCUUUGACGUUAGCGGCGGUCGGGUGAGUAACACGUGGGUAACCUACCUAUAAGACUGGAAUAACUCCGGGAAACCGGGGCUAAUGCCGGAUAACAUUUAGAACCGCAUGGUUCUAAAGUGAAAGAUGGUUUUGCUAUCACUUAUAGAUGGACCCGCGCCGUAUUAGCUAGUUGGUAAGGUAACGGCUUACCAAGGCAACGAUACGUAGCCGACCUGAGAGGGUGAUCGGCCACACUGGAACUGAGACACGGUCCAGACUCCUACGGGAGGCAGCAGUAGGGAAUCUUCCGCAAUGGGCGAAAGCCUGACGGAGCAACGCCGCGUGAGUGAUGAAGGUCUUCGGAUCGUAAAACUCUGUUAUUAGGGAAGAACAAAUGUGUAAGUAACUGUGCACGUCUUGACGGUACCUAAUCAGAAAGCCACGGCUAACUACGUG